rnacentral:rRNA from 1 species
UGGGGAAUUUUGCACAAUGGGGGAAACCCUGAUGCAGCGACGCCGCGUGAUUUAGAAGGCCUUCGGGUUGUAAAAAUCUUUUCUAUGGGAAGAAAAUGACAGUACCAUAGGAAUAAGGACCGGCUAAUUACGUGCCAGCAGCCGCGGUAAUACGUAAGGUCCGAGCGUUGUCCGGAAUCAUUGGGCGUAAAGGGUACGUAGGCGGGUAAGCAAGUUAGAAGUGAAAUCCUAUAGCUCAACUAUAGUAAGCUUUUAAAACUGCUCAUCUUGAGGUAUGGAAGGGAAAGUGGAAUUCCUAGUUUAGCGGUGAAAUGCGCAGAUAUUAGGAGGAAUACCGGUGGCGAAGGCGACUUUCUGGCCAUAACCUGACGCUGAGGUACGAAAGCGUGGGUAGCAAACAGG